CCUAUCUGGGUGCCUGAACACGCAAUCAGACAUGGAGGAGAUAGAGCCAAGAUUCAAGCGACUGAAAAUCGACCCGGAGAAGCCUUCACUCAAAACGAAGAGAUAUUGAAGAAGAAUGAAGAUGACCCAGCAAGACCCACUGAAAAGCUGAUCUCAUGGGAAUAUGUGAAAAAGCUGACAACACUCGCUUCACGAAUGAUUCGACUCCUAGGGAGAAAUAAGACCCCAUUGAUGAUGGUAGCUACAGUGAUUGCCCUGCUGGACCAUCAGGUAAACGGGAGUUGAGCAGACACUUACUGGACAUAUUUCCCAGAUCUACCCUGGUACACCCAGCUGUGUGGACUGGAGAAUCUAUUCCAGUGUUUACUAAUGACUCAUUCAUGAUGGGAGGAUUUACAGACGCUCAUAUUACUCCCAAUCAUGUGACUAGAUUUAAUUAUUUUGGCUACAGUGCCCAGUUACCUUUGUGUUGGUCCCAUGAUAAACAUGCUGGCUGUCUCAGAGUAUCAUUUGAGGAAAAGACAGUGUUUGGGAGACCUAGACUGAUUAAUCGUACUAUUGAUGGAGACUUAAAACCUUAUACUAGAUCAGUGAUCAAAAUGGGACUUUCCCAUAACAAACCAGUCAUUUCUGCAAAAUCUCUAUGAAUACCUCAUUGUCCUAAUAGUUCUACAAUUGAGAUUGGCACCUUUCCUAGAUGGAUAGAUUGUGUAAAUACCUUUCCAGUGCAACAUACAGUGUCUAAAGAUAGUGGGUAUAUUUUAGACUGGUCUCUAAAUAUUGAUAAAAGACAAUUACAAAAAAGUUCUGGUAUGACACCUGCAGGAUUUGUUAGCAAUAUUUUGACCUACAGCAAAGGUGGUAUUCAAAAAGAUGUUUGGCGCUUAAUUGCUGCCUCAGAAUUCUUACAUUUUACAGACAAGCCUUUACCAAAAUUUGUUGGCCAGAGCUGUAAGGAAGUUUCUUGUUAUGGAUUACAAGCCUGAGUCCAAUCUCCUUAUGUUUUAAUCAUUGAAAAUGUAAAAGUUAAAUGGAUAGAUGACAGAUAUGUUGUAACAUGUAACAAAUGUAACCUAACCAAUUGUAUUACUAGAUAUAAUAGAGAAAAAGGAGUGCUGGUACUUCAUCAGCCCUCUUUUGUUUUAUUGCCUGCUAAUAUUUCAGAGCCAUGGUACGCUGAUACUGGUUUUCAAGUCUUCAGCAAAUCCAUACUCAGCUAGCAAGACCUAGACAUGCCAUUGGAAUUAUAAUUGUGGGAGUUAUAGCCUUGGUUUCUUUCAUUGCAUUCACAGUCACAGCUUCGAUGACUUUAUCUCAAAAUAUUCAACAUGCAAAAUUUCUUAAUAAUUUAGCCCAAAAUACUUCCAAGGCCCUGCACAAUCAAGUAAAUAUUGAUGAAAGGAUUGAGAGUUAAAUUAAGUUAAACGCCUUAGAGGCGACUGUUAUAAAUAUAGGUAAUGAACUUUCGGCUUUAAAGUUUAAAGAAAGGCUUAAAUGCCAUGCAAGUUAUAAAAUUGUGUGUAUUACAGCUGCCAAGUUCAAUUCUUCUCUCUGGGAUUGGGAGAAGGUUAAAAACUAUUUGUUAGGUAUUUGACAAAAUAAUAAUAAUAGCUUGGAUCUUUUGGAAUUCCAUCGUCAUAUCCAAGAUAUUCAAAAUAAUAGAGCUGAUUUUUCAGAUCCUUCUUCUUUAGCUAAUAAAAUAUUAAAGGAAUUAAAUGGAUUUAAAUCCCUGGAAACAUUCUUAAACACUCGGCCUGAUACAUUAUUGCAUUGUUCUCUUUGCUGUUAAUUCUUUUUUGUGUUGUAAUUAUAGGAUGGCGAGCCUUCAGAGCGAGAGUGCAGAGACUCAAAAAAGUAAAUCAUCACCGGCUUUUUAAAAGAAAAAAGGGGAAAUAUGUGGGAGGCCAUCCUCGCAUGUGAUUUGAGUUACCUUCUGGCUGGGCGAGAGGUGCUUAGGCACAUUUUGUGUCCAGAGCUUUCCCCACCCUUCUCAGGUCCGAGGGCUUGUCCAUGUGGAGGAGUGUCUGACCACUACCCCGAAGACCCAAUUGUCACCCCUGACCUUGGCAUGCUGCCCCCUUAAUCUUCAUUGGAUGGAAUUUUCCCCAGAAUUUUUUGUUCCCCAAUAAAAGUCCACUCCCUGGCAUGUUCUCU
rnacentral:lncRNA from 1 species